rnacentral:rRNA from 1 species
CAGCCGCCACGGGAAUACGUAGGGCGCAAGCGUUAUCCGGAAUUAUUGGGCGUAAAGAGCUCGUAGGCGGUUUGUCGCGUCUGCCGUGAAAGUCCGGGGCUCAACCCCGGAUCUGCGGUGGGUACGGGCAGACUAGAGUGAUGUAGGGGAGACUGGAAUUCCUGGUGUAGCGGUGAAAUGCGCAGAUAUCAGGAGGAACACCGAUGGCGAAGGCAGGUCUCUGGGCAUUAACUGACGCUGAGGAGCGAAAGCAUGGGGAGCGAACAGGAUUAGAUACCCGAGUAGUCCCUGUCUCUUAUAC